rnacentral:lncRNA from 1 species
CGAAAAUUUCAGUAUUGAAAGAGAGAUGGGACAUAGUUCAAUGGAAGACCUGAUAUUCACGCGAUCUUGUCAUAUUUUUUCACCAGAAACAUCAGCACUCAAGAUAACCUUAACUUGACGUUGAUUCCAACAGUUAGACCUUUCUUUGAUAUAUAUUCUCUAUUCCUAAUUGCUGUUUUUCGGAAAAUACUGGAAAGAUUCAACACAAAAGAUAACAUGUUAGAAUUAAACCUUGGAACUCUUGUUAUCUCAGCAGAGCAACAUAUAACUAAAAAAGGGAGCGAAGCAACUAAAGAUAUAUCACCUCAGGAAAACCAUUUCGAUAUUGCAACCUGGAACACGCGAUUAAUAAGUCCCUCAAUGAACUUUGUCACAACAUCUGCAAAUUAUUACACUUCAGUAUGUAUAGAGAAUAGAUAUUAUUCUUUCAAUAGAUAACAUAAGACCUGUAGGACCUAUUAUAUAAGCAUGACAGAACCAUAUAUCAUACACACAAAUGUACAUAAAACAAAAUCGUUUUCACUCCUCAAUACGAAAAAACUAAGAAAAAAUAAAAGCGAAUAAAAGAGCAAUAUUUAUCGGCCUCCGAAGUACUGAACAAACGAACGUAUAACAGACAUUAACAAAGAGCAAAAAGUUUAAAUAAAUAAGAUGAAACAAAAUAAAUUAACAAAAAAAAAAUUAGUAAUAGACAUUCGCAAAGAAAAAGCUCGAAAAAGACAAAACUUUACAAAAACAAAUAAAGUAAUAGUAAUGAAUAUGCAACUGAGAAAUCAAGAAAAGAUGUAUUAUUUCUUGCUUAUCUUUGAUUGUGUAGGAAGCACAAAAUGAAUGUUUUUUAAACUUUCUGAACACAACGUUAAUCCUACGCCAAUAAUUUAAUAUUAUUGAAGUAAAAAAAAAUCUUCACCUUCUGAAUAUGCCUCUCAUAAGAAAUUGAAUAUCGGGAAAGUCGGUACAGAAAUAAAAAUGAAUUGGACUAUAAAUUUUAAUAACCAAAGCAGAUAGAUUUAUAUAUAGUAAAUUGCAGUUCUCCCACGAACGCCAAUUAAAGAUUAGAUUGCAUUCACUUGAAUAGACGGAGCAUCCAAAAGAUUGAGGGAGUUCUUCUCCCUCAUGCCUUACUUUCAAAUCCCAAAAAUAUCCGAUGGAAAUUAUAAGUCAGAUAUGAUAAGGAUGGAGAAUCCGACAGAUUGAGCGAAAAAUGAGCUAAGAUUUAGCUGAAAAUUCAUUUUUCAAACCCAUAAUGAGAAGUCCACCAUUGUUCUUGUGUUUAGCUAGUAGAACCGAAAAGUAGGUAAGAAAAGAAGAACAGAGACGGUGGUUGAAAAGCUCAAUAACAUGUAAGCACCUUUAUGGCUGAGAGAAAUGAUUCUUCUACCCUUGGUCGAUCAUUUACCCUUUUCUACGUAAUAAUAUAAUAUAACCAGAUGGGUAUAGCCCGUGCUAGCAUGGGCCCAACAUUUACACUUUGAAGUGAUUAGUUUUUUGCUAUUUGGAAUAUUAUCAGGAUAUAAAAUAUGUGAAUACUGCAAUUGAAGAAAAUGCAAUUGAAUGCAAGCACUAAUUUUAGCAUUUUAAGCUUUGAUAUUACAAAUGAUUAGAUCCUAUUAUUAGCUGAGUAUAUCGACUCCCGUAUUGAUCUUCCUGUAAUAAGUUAAUCGCAGGGAUGAAAUAAAACAAAAUGUAACAGCUAAAAAUAUACACACGUCUUAGGAAAUUAUUCCUUCUUAUCACAACAAAAGCUGGCAUAAUAAAAUAAAUGAUUAGAUACUUAGGCAUUUGUCAAGUCUAAUAUAGCUCGCUUUAGUUGAGUAACCUGAAUACAUCUGCGUAAUCUUAGCAUCUAUAGGAUCUCUAUGGAAUAUUUUCUACAUAGAAAAGUCGAUCAAAGUCUUAAUCCAAGCAAAGUUUCUGUAAAACAACUUUGCUUUUUUCACUAGUAUACCUUGUCUUCUAAAUAUAUUCCAGAUACACAAAAUGAAGUAUUACAAAAAUACCUUUAGUAACACAAUGUUGAAUGACAUAUCGCACCUUUUUGCAUUGGUUAGUAAACAGGACACUGAGGAUCGCGUGAUAGGAAAGAAAUUCAGUAAGAAUUACAAAUAAAAUGGCAGCCAAACUUAAUUUGACCAAUCCAUGUAUAAAUAAGAACUGUUCAAAGUUCUUCACUAUACACAAUGUCCUGAAAUCUCUGUAAUGGUACAAGGUACUUGAUGAAAGACUGUAUGAGAUGAAGAAAAAGAAGGUAUACGAAGCUUACCAUGAUACUUUUACUGGAAAUUGUCCAUUUAUCAUGAACAGUCCUUCUCUCUGAGUCAGGAUCAUUAACCUUACCUACCACAGUAAGUGCAAUAAGAUAAAUCUCCAGAUAAAAUACAUCAUAGUCUAAAGUAUUCCACUAAAUAACAAAACAUUGACGUACCUUCUUGGUCAUCUCAGAAAGCAGAUAAUCAAAGCAAGACUUGUAAUAUCUCAGAGCCUUGAAUAGCAAAGUCCACAUGUUGUUAGGCUACACAUUUAAGUCUUAAAUUCACAGGUUUCUGUUCAACCCACUGUCGAUCUGAUCUGAAUAAACAUACAAAAAAUAUUGUCACCCCUCAAUUAUGCUGAAAUAGUUUACAUAAUAAAGAAAAACAAGCACAAUUGCCUCUUAUUACUGAGAAUGCUUAUGCUUCAUGGAUAUCUUUAUAUUUGUAAGUAGUUUUAUCCAGCGCAAGAAAACCUCUAGUGAUAUCCUGGAAGUUGUUUUUUAUUUUGAAUUAUUUGUGAUUUUGUUUUGGUGGCUUUUUUCCUAUUCUUCCUUUGUUUGUUCUUUAAAAAUUCAUCCUCCUACUUAAGAUAUUGCAAGCAAAAAAAAAAUUCUCAGUUUCUUUUUGCCCCCAAAUACGCAGUAAAGGUGAAAAUCAAUAAUCAAGUGUUUUAAAAGUAAUGAAUAAUAGAAUAGAUGAAACUCACAAGUCAUAACUUCUAAAACACCUUAAAAGAAAAGGAAUUAGCAAGAUUUCUAUCUCCAUUUUAACAUUAAACUUUAGAAUUUAAGACUUCUUUAGAUCUGAACAAUAACAAAAAGAAAACACCCAUUAAGUUUUUUAACAAUAAACUUAAACUUAUGGAUACAUCAUGGUUAAUACACAUAUAAUAUCCAAGAAAAUAAUCAUUUGGUGCAUGCAACCAAGCAUAGUCAUUAGCAACUUCAUUCGCUUAUUCAAUACUCUAUUUUACAAGUCAAACAGAAAUAGCAAUUCUUUUCCUCUUUCAUUUGGAUACAAAGUUAGACUUUGACAACUUCUAGUACUAUAUGAACGACUCCACAAUUCUACUACAUGUCGUCACACACAGCUAAACACAUAGUAAAAUUGUAUACGAUCGAGCACAGAAACCUAUGAUCUUGCAUGUGACAACUAAAAUCAGAAACCAGAUAAACAUUGCGCUCUUAAAAACUGAAUCUUCCACUACCCGAGCUCCAACAAUACUUUUCCUUCACGAAAUCAAUCCACAUAAACUUUCAUUAUUUAUACUGAAAAAAAAGAGAGGAAUUUUCACUUUUUUUUUUACUAUGGUAACAAUAAUAAAGAGGAAUUUACACUCUUUAAGAAUUGAAUUCCCCCCAAUAUUUGAGCUGCCAAAUUAUUUAACCUAAGUGGAGCCACAUAGAAUUAUAAGAAAAAAUACUCAUAAAAUAAAAUAAAAUAGGAUUGAACUCAUACUGAGAAUUUUUUCGAGAACGACAUCUUUUCCAACACUUUGAGCUACCGGAAAAUAAUCUCAUUUUACAUAAAUGAACCAUAUAAAAUAAUAACAACAAAUAGUUACCAAAAAUAUAAAAUAAUAAUAACCGAAACAAUGAAAUGAACAAAGAAGAAGAAAAAAAGGCAAUCUUACCGGCUAUACGGGUGAAUCUAGCCGAAGGAAGGACACAUAAUCUGGAGAAUAAAUCUGCAGCUAUUAAAAAAAGGAUUGCAGUUAUGUGAGGAUGACAAUUGAAAAACCUUCACAUCAGUAGUGAAAUUGGGGAGAGAAUUAGAUAGAAUAGUGAGGACAUCAGACAUAAAUUUCAGUUGUGAAAUUCGGGAGUCAGGAAGAAAUUUGGGCAAAAAUGAGAUAAAAGCUAACCUCAAAUGUGUAGAGAUUUCAAAAAGCCAUUCUUUAAAAGAACUGAUUG